AGGGGAAAGGCCUGGGCGGCGUGCUUACACAUGCAAGUCGAACGAUGUAUAGCCCAGCCUGCUGGGCCGGAUUAGUGGCGAACGGGUGAGUAACACGUGAGUAACCUGCCCUUGACUCUGGGAUAAGCCCGGGAAACUGGGUCUAAUACCGGAUAGGAGCGCCUGUCGCAUGACGGGUGCUGGAAAGAUUUCUCGGUCAUGGAUGGACUCGCGGCCUAUCAGCUUGUCGGUGAGGUAACGGCUCACCAAGGCGACCACGGGUAGCCGGCCUGAGAGGGUGCCCGGCCACCCUGGCCACUGAGACACGGCCCAGACUCCUACGGGAGGCAGCAGUGGGGAAUAUUCCACAAUGGGCGGAAGCCUGAUGCAGCGACGCCGCGUGAGGGAUGACGGCCUUCGGGUUGUAAACCUCUUUCAGUAGGGAAGAAGCGAAAGUGACGGUACCUGCAGAAGAAGCACCGGCUAACUACGUGCCAGCCGCCGCGGUAAUACA
rnacentral:rRNA from 1 species